AUAUUGAUGCAUUCAUUGUUUCUAGUUUGUACUUUGUACUUUAGCAUUAAACCUUUUGCAUUUGUAUUUCAGUAAAUUUAUGUGCGCCUGUCUUAUUAGCUUCAUAAAAUAUCUUUUGUUUGUUUUAUAAAGGUUUAGCUUCAAAGUACAUCCUUGUGACGACACCAAUGUCUUGGGACAAAGCUCAACUUUACUGCAGGGAAAAUUACACAGAUCUGGCCAGCGUGAGGAACAACUCCGAGAACGCCGAAAUCAAUAAGCUUGUGAAUGAAUAUUCAUGGAUUGGCUUUUACAGAGAGUCUUGGAGGUGGUCAGACGGUCAACGCAUGAAGAUGACUUCAUUCCGUAACUUCAAUACAAGUCAAUCAGUAAAUGUUAAAAGCUCCUGUGUGACUACAACAAACAGUAUGUGGAAUAUAAGACCCUGCUCCAACACAUAUCCUUUCAUCUGUAGUGGAACUCGUAGGAAGAUGAGGGUGGUAAAAAUUACGUUGUCCAAAUCAGAUUCCUCGGACCUGGAAGAAGCGCAGGAUGUCGUCUUGCAGCAACUGAACCUCAAACUGGAGAGCUAUGGCCUUGAAGAUGUCAAACUGAAAUGGAUCAACCAGUCUGAUGGAAAGACGUUUCACUUGAAAAAGAAAGGAGACAAAAAGACAAAGAAUUUAAAAUAGGGGUGCACUGAUUGCAGUUUUCUGGCCGAUCACAGAUUAACGAUCUAUUAAAACUCCUGACCUGUCGAUUCCGAUUUUGGCCAAUACCAAUUUUUUUUUAUCUAAAAUGUUGCUAAAUGUAGCAAGAAAGUUGAUGAGUUGCCAACAGUGAGAUGACUAUUAACUGCAAACAUAUAGACCUGAUCUGGUGGGCCGGUCUGCUGGUCAAAGCUCUCUCACAGCAGAGCAGAAAAAGAAAACAGUUGAUUUAAAUGAAUUUGCUGAAGUAGUUAAAAUUGAUAGUUAAGAUCGGCUUCACAUGUAAAAAUUGGUCGGCACGGAUAAAUCGGUGCAUCCCUAGUAAAAACGUGAGACUGAGAAAAACUUUGUUCUCUGAAAAAGAUGGCAGAGCAGUUUUUGAUUUUCUUAAAGAUAAUUUUCCUGACUGAUAUUCACUGUUGUAGCUGCAGAUCAUAAUAAGCAGUGAUGGUCUAACAGUAUCUCAUGUUCCAACUUCAAAAUAAUUUAAUCUCUCCUGAUCUUUUUUGUCUUUGAUUUUGUUUUCUGAUCUUUCUGUACAGUUUGUUAAAUUUAUAUUUUUGUGGAUUCUACCUUAAGAAGCCAGAUUUGGUUGGUUGUUAUUAACUUGUGUUGCAUUUUUUGGCAUCUCUGCCAUGGGUUAGCUGUUAAAAGGAACCAAAUUCAGGAAGAAGACUAUCCAUCCAUCCACCAUCCAUCCUGAAAACCCGACUCGGGGCCAGCUUUCAAUCCACAGAGGAAUCAUUGGUCACCCCUCUCAUCCUCUCACUGCAUGUGGGAGGGGCCUGAGCAAACAGGUGUCAUGUGAUUAAGUUUUUUUAUAAAAGUAAAAAAUUCAAACGCCAAACUCCAAAGAAAAACCCAACUUUGAUGCUGGUGGACCAACAUGAACUGGAUGGUGGGAGGGAGUGAACACCAAGGCAACAAAUUGGCAUGGAGACAGAAGAGGCAGCAGCGCUCUGAAUCAGCUGCAGCUGUCUGACUUUUUAAGGCGACCUGUGUGAAGACACCAUUGCAGAAAUCAAUGCAGCUAAAUAUAAACGCAUGGAUGAGUUUCUCUAGAUUUUGCUUGAAUAUUUAUCCUUUAAUCUUAAUGUUCUUCAGGUGAUAGAAGGCCAACUUUGCAAUUGAUUUUAUGUGUACGGUAUUUGAAAGUUCAGGUCUGAGUUUUAAAUCCCUUUGGGCCUCAUUAGCUGCUGCUAGCUGUAAUAACUGACCUCUGUGCUGGACUUUGGUUGCUCCUCCUUUAGUUUUGUUUCUGUUCAGCUGAAGAAAGUUUUGCCACAUUCAUGUAUUUAUUUACCUUAAGCAUCUGUUUAGUGCUUGGCUGGGUUUAGAGUCACCUGAUGACAUCAUGAUGGAGAGCUUUGUAGCAUAUCCACAGCUAUGGUAGCUAAUUGUCAGCAGUUAUUGACCUAAGACUCUCUGAUCAUUUGUUAUGGAAAAUAAAAGGGUCAUUUCAAAAAAUAUGCUCAAAAUUAUGCUUUUUAUUUAAAUUAUGGUCCUAUAAAUGUAUGAAUGAUGAUGGAUUUGUGGCCACAACACUUCCUAAGGACUCUGUCCUCACUGGUCACCUGUCAGACCCUCAGCCUCCUCCUCCUGCUGGACUGUCCACCCACUCUGAAGGUUAUUACUUUCUUCAUGCUGAUUAGGUUCAGAUGAAUGCACGCUAUUGUCCAGCCAGGUUUCCCACGACCCGGCGUUCGCCUGGCAGUCGCGUGGCUCUGAUGCAGGGGGACCCAGCUUUGAGGUGGGGUGAGUGAGACGAGGGGAGAGGACAUCUGGCCGGUCUGACAUCUGCUAGUGGCAAAUGUUACCCGGAAAUGUUUCAAAACCCAGAAUAUGAUCAAAGCGAGAAGGGAAGACGUCCCUGAUUCUUCCAACUGUGGAUCAAGGUGGAUUUCAAAGAGAUUGUGACACACUACAUCAAUUAUCAUCUGUGUAUUUAUGUGGAAUUAUAGACCAACACAA